AGAGUUUGAUCCUGGCUCAGAAUGAACGCUGGCGGCAUGCCUAACACAUGCAAGUCGAACGAAGGCUUCGGCCUUAGUGGCGCACGGGUGCGUAACGCGUGGGAAUCUGCCCCUUGGUUCGGAAUAACAGUUGGAAACGACUGCUAAUACCGGAUGAUGACGUAAGUCCAAAGAUUUAUCGCCGAGGGAUGAGCCCGCGUAAGAUUAGCUAGUUGGUGUGGUAAAGGCGCACCAAGGCGACGAUCUUUAGCUGGUCUGAGAGGAUGAUCAGCCACACUGGGACUGAGACACGGCCCAGACUCCUACGGGAGGCAGCAGUGGGGAAUAUUGGACAAUGGGCGAAAGCCUGAUCCAGCAAUGCCGCGUGAGUGGUGAAGGCCUUAGGGUUGUAAAGCUCUUUUACCCGGGAUGAUAAUGACAGUACCGGGAGAAUAAGCUCCGGCUAACUCCGUG
rnacentral:rRNA from 1 species